UGCGGAGUAGAGUAGUCUAGUAGCUCGCAAGGCUCACGGGUUCAAAUCCCGUCUCCGCCA
rfam:Picea glauca, whole genome shotgun sequence.